GACGAACGCUGGCGGCGUGCUUAACACAUGCAAGUCGAACGGAAAGGCCCUGCUUUUGUGGGGUGCUCGAGUGGCGAACGGGUGAGUAACACGUGAGUAACCUGCCCUUGACUUUGGGAUAACUUCAGGAAACUGGGGCUAAUACCGGAUAGGAGCUCCUGCUGCAUGGUGGGGGUUGGAAAGUUUCGGCGGUUGGGGAUGGACUCGCGGCUUAUCAGCUUGUUGGUGGGGUAGUGGCUUACCAAGGCUUUGACGGGUAGCCGGCCUGAGAGGGUGACCGGCAAAAUGGGGAAGGGAAUACGGCCCAGACUCCAAGGGGGGGCAGGGGGGGGGAAUAUUAAAAAAGGGGCGGAAGCCUGAGGCAACAACCCCGGGGGGGGGAUGCGGGCCUUGGGGUUGUAAACCGCUUUCCCCUGUGACGAAGGGGGGGGGACGGUAAUGGGAAAAGAAGCCGCGGCGAAAUACGU
rnacentral:rRNA from 1 species